GAGACAGGUGCUGAUUGAAAUUGAAAUGCGCUGUGGUAUUCGCCCCACCGAAAUGAAUGACAUCGACAUGUGACGACAAUCUGAAUGGCGAAAUGUCAAUCGUCCCAUUAUUCGUUAUGCAUAAGGUUUCAUUGAUGAAGUCAUAAAUCACUAAUUGGCAAUCCUAUCGUCGGGAUCGAUAUCAAUUAAUGUCUCGCUGUCAGUAAAGAAUGGGGGAAUGAAUAUGUAAUUUGACCAUCAUGAUGAGCGAGCAUUUGUUUCAAAGUCGUAUGUCCUGCGGGUCUGGAUCGGUCAGGAAUAAUUUGCAGGUGACUUAUUGCAUUUGUGUAGUGACAAAUGUACAGUUAUAAUGUGGGCCAAAUAAUAUGAAGAUGAAGAUAACAUAAGAAAUGAUAAGCUUCACUUUUGCAAAUUGUAUUUUUUAAGGGAUGCAAACCGAACUUACGGAAAUGAGCAAAUUUUCUGUACGCAUUAGGUAAUCUUAUGUCGAAUAAUUGCACGAUUUUCGAAUAGAUUUUUCAUGCGGCUGUCAACGGUUCGGAUUUGUAAUCUAUUUCCGGAUCCGGCACCAAUCGAUUGCAUUUUGAUUUGCAUAGAAAACUAAUUUGAUGAAAGUUUUGAGUUUCAAAAUUAUUUUAUUUACGAGAACGAAUUUUUAUUACUAUCACGGAACAAUAAAUGAAAUUUCAUACAA